AUAUAGGAUAUAUAUAUCAUUAAAGCCAAAUCCACGUUACCAUGAUAAUAUUAAGGAAAAAAUAUGUAGAUAGAAACAAAAUCCAAAAUCUGCAUGAAGAAAUAAAGGUCUGUUAUAAAUAUUAAUUAAUAAUUAUGUGGAUGUCGAAAUAUUUUAUUUAUUACCAUUAAUUGUAAUCAACAUUCAUUUUUUUCAUAGUUUCCAUUUUUCUUAGUUUCAUAAUAUCUCACUCUUGUAUUUGUAUAAAUAGGGGUUCACCCCAUUAGAAUAAACAACUCAGAAAUUCUCAUUCACUUUCUCUUUCUUUUUUCUUCUUCUUUCUUCUCAUCUACUUUAUAUUAUUUUAUAAAAAGUUCAACUUUUUUAUUUAUUGAUUACAUUAAGAAACAAAAGGUCAACUAUUUUAUUUAUAUAAAGAUAUUAUAUCAUUAUAACAACAAAAAUUAAUAGAGAUGGUUUCUUCUAAAGGUAUCACUCUCAUGGGUUUUCUCUGCAUUGCAUUGCUUUUGGCCUCAACUGGGCCAGCAGCAGAAGCAAUAAACUUGCCAGUAAUUUGCUUGGGUCCAUGUUCAAAUAGCUGCAAUAGUGAUUGUAUUAGCAAAGGCUAUUCUAAAGGUGGUGCAUGUCUAGGGCAAAGGGUUUCUGACAUGAGUUGUUGUUGUAAUAACAAUUGAAAUUUUACUUUUUCACUAAUGUAUAUCAACAUAUACAAAUAAAUAAAUAAGUGUAUAACAAUGCACUUUCAUAUACAUUUGUGUUAAAGAAUAGCUAAAAAAUUACCAUCUUAUAUUA